AUCUCCCGGUCGUGACGGUGGCGGCUUCGCGCCCCACCAUCAUACCUCCCUGUUGGACUUCGGCCGAGCUUAGUGCUCGGCCUUUUUU
rnacentral:ncRNA from 1 species